rnacentral:rRNA from 1 species
AGCCUGAACGCUGGCGGCGUGGCUAAGACAUGCAAGUCGAACGGGUGUAGCAAUACACCAGUGGCGGACGGGUGAGUAAUAAAUCGCUAAUGUACCCCGGAGCCAGGGAUAGCCUUCCGAAAGGGAGGGUAAUACCUGAUGAGACCACGAACAGGCAUCUGUUUGUGCUCAAAGCCGUAAGGCACUCUGGGAGCAGGCGAUUACGUAUCAGCUUGUUGGUGAGGUAACGGCUCACCAAGGCGACGACGCGUAGCUGGUCUGAGAGGACGGCCAGCCACAUUGGGACUGAGACACUGCCCAGACUCCUACGGGGGGCUGCAGUAACGAAUCUUCCGCAAUGCACGAAAGUGUGACGGAGCGACGCCGCGUGUAGGACGAAGUCCUUCGGGAUGUAAACUACUGUCAGGGGUAAGAAGUUCUGAUCUACCCAGAGGAAGAGACGGCUAACUCUGUGCCAGCAGCCGC